UACAGAGGUCUCAAGCGUUGUUCGGAUUCAUUGGGCGUAAAGGGUGCGUAGGCGGUCUUCUAAGUUUGAUGUGAAAUCCCGGGGCUUAACCCUGGAAUUGCAUUGAAUACUGGAGGACUAGAGUACCGGAGAGGAAACUGGAAUUUACGGUGUAGCAGUGAAAUGCGUAGAGAUCGUAAGGAAGACCAGUGGCGAAGGCGAGUUUCUGGACGGUAACUGACGCUGAGGCACGAAGGCCAGGGGAGCAAACGGG
rnacentral:rRNA from 1 species